rnacentral:rRNA from 1 species
UAGCGGCGGACGGGUGAGUAACACGUGGAUAACCUACCUAUAAGACUGGGAUAACUUCGGGAAACCGGAGCUAAUACCGGAUAAUAUUUUGAACCGCAUGGUUCAAAAGUGAAAGACGGUCUUGCUGUCACUUAUAGAUGGAUCCGCGCUGCAUUAGCUAGUUGGUAAGGUAACGGCUUACCAAGGCAACGAUGCAUAGCCGACCUGAGAGGGUGAUCGGCCACACUGGAACUGAGACACGGUCCAGACUCCUACGGGAGGCAGCAGUAGGGAAUCUUCCGCAAUGGGCGAAAGCCUGACGGAGCAACGCCGCGUGAGUGAUGAAGGUCUUCGGAUCGUAAAACUCUGUUAUUAGGGAAGAACAUAUGUGUAAGUAACUGUGCACAUCUUGACGGUACCUAAUCAGAAAGCCACGGCUAACUACGUGCCAGCAGCCGCGGUAAUACGUAGGUGGCAAGCGUUAUCCGGAAUUAUUGGGCGUAAAGCGCGCGUAGGCGGUUUUUUAAGUCUGAUGUGAAAGCCCACGGCUCAACCGUGGAGGGUCAUUGGAAACUGGAAAACUUGAGUGCAGAAGAGGAAAGUGGAAUUCCAUGUGUAGCGGUGAAAUGCGCAGAGAUAUGGAGGAACACCAGUGGCGAAGGCGACUUUCUGGUCUGUAACUGACGCUGAUGUGCGAAAGCGUGGGGAUCAAACAGGAUUAGAUACCCUGGUAGUCCACGCCGUAAACGAUGAGUGCUAAGUGUUAGGGGGUUUCCGCCCCUUAGUGCUGCAGCUAACGCAUUAAGCACUCCGCCUGGGGAGUACGACCGCAAGGUUGAAACUCAAAGGAAUUGACGGGGACCCGCACAAGCGGUGGAGCAUGUGGUUUAAUUCGAAGCAACGCGAAGAACCUUACCAAAUCUUGACAUCCUUUGACAACUCUAGAGAUAGAGCUUUCCCCUUCGGGGGACAAAGUGACAGGUGGUGCAUGGUUGUCGUCAGCUCGUGUCGUGAGAUGUUGGGUUAAGUCCCGCAACGAGCGCAACCCUUAAGCUUAGUUGCCAUCAUUAAGUUGGGCACUCUAAGUUGACUGCCGGUGACAAACCGGAGGAAGGUGGGGAUGACGUCAAAUCAUCAUGCCCCUUAUGAUUUGGGCUACACACGUGCUACAAUGGACA